rnacentral:rRNA from 1 species
CAUAUCAAUAAGCGGAGGAAAAGAAACUAACAAGGAUUCCCCUAGUAACUGCGAGUGAAGCGGGAAAAGCUCAAAUUUAAAAUCUGGCGACCUUUGGCCGUCCGAGUUGUAAUCUAGAGAAGUGUUAUCCGCGCUGGACCGUGUACAAGUCUCCUGGAAUGGAGCGUCAUAGAGGGUGAGAAUCCCGUCUUUGACACGGACUGCCAGGGCUUUGUGAUGCGCUCUCAAAGAGUCGAGUUGUUUGGGAAUGCAGCUCAAAAUGGGUGGUAAAUUCCAUCUAAAGCUAAAUAUUGGCGAGAGACCGAUAGCGAACAAGUACCGUGAGGGAAAGAUGAAAAGAACUUUGGAAAGAGAGUUAAACAGUACGUGAAAUUGCUGAAAGGGAAACGCUUGAAGUCAGUCGCGUUGUUUGGGAAUCAACCUUGCUUUUGCUGGGCGUACUUUCCAGAUGACGGGCCAGCAUCAAUUUUGACCGUUGGAUAAAGAUUGGAGGAAUGUGGCAUCUUCGGAUGUGUUAUAACCUUCAGUUGCAUACAACGGUUGGGAUUGAGGAACUCAGCACGCCGCAAGGCCGGGUACUCGUACCACGUUCGUGCUUAGGAUGCUGGCAUAAUGGCUUUAAUCGACCCGUCUUGAAACACGGACCAAGGAGUCUAACAUGCCUGCGAGUAUUUGGGUGGAAAACCCGAGUGCGUAAUGAAAGUGAAAGUUGAGAUCCCUGUCGCGGGGAGCAUCGACGCCCGGACCAGACCUUUUGUGACGGAUCUGCGGUAAAGCAUGUAUGUUGGGACCCGAAAGAUGGUGAACUAUGCCUGAAUAGGGUGAAGCCAGAGGAAACUCUGGUGGAGGCUCGUAGCGAUUCUGACGUGCAAAUCGAUCGUCAAAUUUGGGUAUAGGGGCGAAAGACUAAU